AUGCUUGGAAUGGUAUUCCGUUUGUGAUGUACUUUUGAAAUGGAAUGAAAGCAUACCUUUUUUGAAACAACUUGUGACUGGAGAUGAAAAAUGGAUUUUGUACGAAAACGUAGUGUGAAAUGGAUACCAAAAUAGCAGCCAAA